rnacentral:rRNA from 1 species
UGGGGAAUUUUGGACAAUGGGGGAAACCCUGAUCCAGCAAUGCCGCGUGAGUGAAGAAGGCCUUCGGGUUGUAAAGCUCUUUUGUCAGGGAAGAAACGGUUCGAUCUAAUACAUUGGGCUAAUGACGGUACCUGAAGAAUAAGCACCGGCUAACUACGUGCCAGCAGCCGCGGUAAUACGUAGGGUGCAAGCGUUAAUCGGAAUUACUGGGCGUAAAGCGUGCGCAGGCGGUUAUGUAAGACAGAUGUGAAAUCCCCGGGCUUAACCUGGGAAUGGCAUUUGUGACUGCAUGGCUAGAGUUUGGCAGAGGGGGGUAGAAUUCCACGUGUAGCAGUGAAAUGCGUAGAUAUGUGGAGGAAUACCGAUGGCGAAGGCAGCCCCCUGGGUCAAGACUGACGCUCAUGCACGAAAGCGUGGGGAGCAAACA